rnacentral:rRNA from 1 species
UACCAGACUCCUACGGGAGGCAGCAGUGGGGGAUAUUGCACAAUGGGGGAAACCCUGAUGCAGCGACGCCGCGUGAGUGAAGAAGUAUUUCGGUAUGUAAAGCUCUAUCAGCAGGGACGAAAAUGACGGUACCUGAGUAAGAAGCCCCGGCUAACUACGUGCCAGCAGCCGCGGUAAUACGUAGGGGGCAAGCGUUAUCCGGAUUUACUGGGUGUAAAGGGAGCGUAGACGGCAGUGCAAGUCUGAAGUGAAAGCCCCGGGCUUAACCCGGGAACUGCUUUGGAAACUGUACGGCUGGAGUGCUGGAGAGGUAAGCGGAAUUCCUAGUGUAGCGGUGAAAUGCGUAGAUAUUAGGAGGAACACCAAUGGCGAAGGCGGCUUACUGGACAGUAACUGACGUUGAGGCUCGAAAGCGUGGGGAGCAAACAGGAUUAGAUACCCGUGUA